rnacentral:rRNA from 1 species
AUUGAACGCUGGCGGCAGGCCUAACACAUGCAAGUCGAGCGAGCGGCGGACGGGUGCGUAAUGUCUGGGAAACUGCCUGAGGGAGGGGGAUAACUACUGGAAACGGUAGCUAAUACCGCAUCCCAUCAGAUGUGCACAGAUGGGAUUAGCUAUUAGGUGGGGUAACGGCUCACCUAGGAGACGAUCCCUAGCGGGCCUGGGAGGAUGACCAGCCACACUGUAAAUGAGACACGGUCCAGACUCCUACGGUAGGCAGCAGUGGGGAAUAUUGCACAAUGGGCGCAAGCCUGAUGCAGCCAUGCCUCGUGUGUGAAGAAGGCCUUCGGGUUGUAAAGCACUUUCAGCGGGGAGGCGUUACCCGCAGAAGAAGCACCGGCUAACUCCGUGCCAGCAGCCGCGGUAAUAC